GCUACUUUGCUGACGAGUGGCGGACGGGUGAGUAAUGCUUGGGAAUAUGCCUUAUGGUGGGGGACAACAGUUGGAAACGACUGCUAAUACCGCAUAACAUCUCCGGAUCAAAGUGGGGGACCUUCGGGCCUCACGCCAUAAGAGUAGCCCAAGUGGGAUUAGCUAGUUGGUAAGGUAAUGGCUUACCAAGGCGACGAUCCCUAGUUGGUCUUAGAGGAUGACCAGCCACACUGGAACUGAGACACGGUCCAGACUCCUACGGGAGGCAGCAGUGGGGAAUAUUGCACAAUGGAGGAAACUCUGAUGCAGCCAUGCCGCGUGUGUGAAGAAGGCUUUCGGGUUGUAAAGCACUUUCAGCGAGGAGGAAAGGGUGUUGCUUAAUAGGUAACAUCUGUGACGUUACUCGCAGAAGAAGCACCGGCUAACUCCGUGCCAGCAGCCGCGGUAAUACGGAGGGUGCGAGCGUUAAUCGGAAUUACUGGGCGUAAAGCGCGCGUAGGCGGUUAAUUAAGUCAGAUGUGAAAUCCCAGGGCUCAACCUUGGAACUGCAUUUGAAACUGGUUAACUAGAGUUUUGUAGAGGGUGGUAGAAUUUCAGGUGUAGCGGUGAAAUGCGUAGAGAUCUGAAGGAAUACCAGUGGCGAAGGCGGC
rnacentral:rRNA from 1 species